rnacentral:rRNA from 1 species
GACGAACGCUGGCGGCGUGCUUAACACAUGCAAGUCGAGCGGUAAGGCCCUUUCGGGGGUACGACGAGCGGCGAACGGGUGAGUAACACGUGGGUGACCUGCCCUCAGCUCUGGGAUAAGCCUGGGAAACCGGGUCUAAUACUGGAUAUGACUCCAUGACGCAUGUUGUGGGGUGGAAAGCCUUGUGCGGCUGAGGAUGGGCCCGCGGCCUAUCAGCUUGUUGGUGGGGUGANGGCCUACCAAGGCGACGACGGGUAGCCGGCCUGAGAGGGCGACCGGCCACACUGGGACUGAGACACGGCCCAGACUCCUACGGGAGGCAGCAGUGGGGAAUCUUGCGACAAUGGG